rfam:Methanoculleus sp. SDB scaffold-483, whole genome shotgun sequence.
GCGAGGGUAGCCAAGAGGCCAACGGCGGUGGACUCAAGAUCCAUUCUCGUAGGAGUUCGCGGGUUCGAAUCCCUCCCCUCGCA